rnacentral:rRNA from 1 species
CCUACGGGUGGCAGCAGUGAGGAAUCUUCGUCAAUGGCCGUAAGGCUGAACCAGCAAAGUCGCGUGAAGGAAGAAGGUCCUAUGAUCUGUAAACUCUUUUUAUAGAGGAAUAAAGGUGUCAAAGUGUCUGUUUUUGCUUGUACCAUAUGAAUCCGGAUAGGCUAACUCCGUGACAGCCGCCGCGGUAAUACGGAGGAUGCGUGCGUUAUCCGGACUUAUUGGGUUUAGGGGGUGCGAAGGUUGUUUUUUAAGUCAGCGGUGAAUGUUUGUGGCUUAACCGUAACAGUGCCGUGGAAACUGGGAGACUUGAGUGUGUAUGAGGUGGGCGGAAUGCGUGGUGUAGCGGUGAAAUGCAUAGAUAUCACGCAGAACACCGAUUGCGAAGGCAGCUUACUAAGCUAUAACUGACACUGAAGCACGAAAGCGUGGGUAUCAAACAGGAUUAGAUACCCCUGUAGUC